UACGGAGGAGGCAAGCGUUAUCCGGAAUUACUGGGCGUAAAGGGCGCGUAGCCGGCACGACAAGUCGGGAGUGAAAGCCCGGGGCUCAACCCCGGAAUGUCUCUCGAAACUGUCGAGCUAGAGUGCAGAAGAGGCAACUGGAAUUCCCAGUGUAGCGGUGAAAUGCGUAGAUAUUGGGAAGAACACCUGAGGCGAAGGCGGGUUGCUGGGCUGACACUGACGCUGAGGCGCGAAAGCCAGGGGAGCGAACGGG
rnacentral:rRNA from 1 species